GGAAACUUGAAAACUACCGUUGGAUCGAAAAAUGGACGUCCAAGAUUCGUCCACGUCACCAUGAGUUAAAAUUGUGCUCCUAGUAAAAUUUUAACUCAUGAGUGAAUCUGCGAGUAAAAUUUUUACUCGUGAUGAUGUGGAUGAAUUUUAGACGUCUUUUUUUUAUCCAACAGUAACAGGUUUCU
rnacentral:pre_miRNA from 1 species